UUUUUUUUUUUUUGGUAGAGACAGGCUCUUGCUAUGUUGCCCAGGCUAAUCUUGAGCUCCUGAGCUCAAGUGAUGCUUCCACCUCAGUCUCCUAAAAUGCUGGGAUUAUAGGUGUGAGCCACCACGUCCAGCCUUACACGAGUUCCUUCUCACAAGUUCCACUUCUCAGAGUACAGAGCGCAGCCACUGAGACCACUUCCAUUUUGUGGGUGCAAAAACUGAGACUGCAGGUGGUUAGGUGCAGUGUCUAAAGUCUCAGGUUAUGUUGUAUAUGCUGCAUAAAGGUCACGCUGGGAAGGCGCGUCCGUGGGGCCACGUGUGGGCCUAGCCCUGGUGUAUUGGGUGUGUACGUGCAUGGCUGUGGACACUUCUAUGUGGGAGGGGCCCAAAUCGGCUGUAAGACCUCAUAGGUGAGGCCAGAUGCAGUGGCUCACACCUGUAAUCCCUGUGCUUUGGGAGGCCGGAGUGGGAGGAUCACUUGAGCCCAGGAGGUUGAGGCUGCGGUGAGCCAUGAUGGCACCACGACACUCCAGCCUGGGCGACAGAGCAAGACUCCGUCUCAAAAAAAAAAAAAAAAAAAAAAAAGGCUGGGCGUGGUGGCUCACACCUGUAAUCCCAGUGCUUUGGGAGGCCGAGGUGGGUGGAUCAUGAGGUCAGGAGAUAGAGACCAUCAUGGUUAACAUGGUGAAACCUCUUCUCUACUAAAAACACAAAAGAAUAGCUGGGCGUAGUGACAUGCGCCUUUAGUCCCAGCUACUCGGGAGGCUGACGCAGGAGAAUCGCUUGAACUUGGGAGGCGGAGGUUGCAGUGAGCCAAGAUCGUGCCAUUGCACUCCAGCCUGGGGCACAAGAGUGAGACUCCAUUUCAAAACAAACAAACAAGCAAACAAACACCUUCACAUGUGAGAACAGGUGUCUGUCUGUUCACCUGGUGAGCUGGACAGUCAGCAGCUGCAGGCAGGGAAGUGGCAGGGGAGAGGACGCUUACCUGUCAUGGCCGUGUAGCCCAGGAAGCAUGCGAUUUUCUCCUGACAGAGCUCCUGCUCCUCAUAGGUCAGCAGCUGGUAGAUGAACUGCCACAGGACCUGCUUGGCAGGGGUGUCCAGCACAGGGUAGACGUCAACGAUGAGGGUGUCGAUGUUCCUGGGGGAAGGUGCAGGAAUGUGAGGCUCAAUACUCACGGGCUUACCAUGAUGCACAGAGUGGGGGUAGACAAGACGGCACUUCCAAGCCACAGCGUCUGCCCUCAUGCCCUAUCCCUACCCUUCAAAGACAGAAGUGGGGGCCGGGCACAGUGGCUCACGCCUGUAAUCCCAGCACUUUGAGAGGCCGAGGCAGGUGGAUCAUUUGAGGUCAGGAGUUCGAGACCAGCCCAGCCAACAUGGUGAAAGGCCGUCUCUACUGAAAGUAUAAAAAUUAGUCAGGUGUGGUGGUGCACACCUGUAAUCCCAGCUA
rnacentral:lncRNA from 1 species